UGGCGCAGUUGGUAGCGCGCUUCCCUUGCAAGGAAGAGGUCAUCGGUUCGAUUUCCGG
rnacentral:tRNA from 1 species